UAACUAAGGGAUAACCCAGCGAAGUUGGACUAAUACCUUAUGUAUUCGUUUGACCUCAUGAGAUUACGAAUAAAGAUUUAUCGGUUAUGGAUGGGGAUGCGUCUGAUUAGCUUGUUGGCGGGGUAAUGGCCCACCUAGGCUUCGACGGGUAGCCGGCCUGAGAGGGCGGACGGCCACAUUGGGACUGAGAUACGGCCCCAGACUCCUACGGGAGGCAGCAGGC
rnacentral:rRNA from 1 species